AUGAACAGAUCUGAUUCAUGGAUAAGGCUCGACGACUUCAGCAAUCUCAACCAUAUGGAGGAUUUUAUGAACAGCCAAGACAUGAUCCCCACCAUGGGUCAUACAAUCCAUAUUGGGGAGACCCUCAGAAUUAUGGCUAUGCAAGAGAUCAACCAGUUCAUGCAUAUGGAGGAUUCUAUGAACAGCCAAGACAUGAUCCCUACCAUGACACAUACAAUCCAU
rnacentral:lncRNA from 1 species